AACGAACGCUGGCGGCAUGCCUAACACAUGCAAGUCGAACGAGACCUUCGGGUCUAGUGGCGCACGGGUGCGUAACGCGUGGGAACCUGCCCUUAGGUUCGGAAUAACUCCCCGAAAGGGGUGCUAAUACCGGAUAAUGUCUUCGGACCAAAGAUUUAUCGCCUUUGGAUGGGCCCGCGUUGGAUUAGCUAGUUGGUAGGGUAAAAGCCUACCAAGGCGACGAUCCAUAGCUGGUCUGAGAGGAUGAUCAGCCACACUGGGACUGAGACACGGCCCAGACUCCUACGGGAGGCAGCAGUGGGGAAUAUUGGACAAUGGGCGAAAGACUGAUACAGCAAUGCCGCGUGAGUGAUGAAGGCCUUAGGGUUGUAAAGCUCUUUUACCCGGGAUGAUAAUGACAGUACCGGGAGAAUAAGCUCCGGCUAACUCCGUG
rnacentral:rRNA from 1 species